rnacentral:tRNA from 65 species
GCGGGCGUGGCGAAAUUGGUAGGCGCGCGGGGUUUAGGUCCCCGUGUUCGAAAGAACGUGGGGGUUCGAGUCCCUCCGCCCGCACAA